CACGCGCCGGUCGUGUGAUGUCCACGCACGCGAGCACCAAACGCUUACGAUAAACUGCUUUCGUUCUCAGGGAAAUACUUAAGUAUCUGUUACAGUUUGUAUGUGUUACCAGUGCAAAGUUACAUGGACCGCAAGUGAUAUCUAAGGUUCCGAGGAUUAUAGUUACAUGGGAACGCUUGGUUAUGAAAAAUACCUAACACUGAACGGUAUUUCGAAAGCGCAACCGAUUUGACGACCUCUCCGGAUACAAAUUGUGAGACGGCGCCCGCAAAUCGGAUCGUCUGUGGCUUCGUGAAACCGUCACGUGUGGUGCAACACAUAAUGCAACUCAUACAAAACAAACACAAACGACAGACGAAACUAAAUUCCAACUACUACACCUAGAAAUCCAACAAUCAACGCCUAAAUUGUGCGGUGGCAAAAUAAUAUUAUGCUUUAUAAUUUAGUUAGUGUGACAGUCAAUAUAAAAGUUACAUAUUCAGCGUCAGUUUUCAUGCACAAUAAAUUACAUUAACAGUGAAUAGUUUUAAUAGUAAUAUGCGUGAUGAUUGGUUCGUGAAUCCCGUGAAUGUGACUGGUUUCGGAGUCCCGUAUCGGGCGCCAAGGUUGAAAGUCCCACAUCGGGAGCCAAGUUUCGUUUGUGAAGUCCCACAUCGGGCGCCAAGUUUCGUUUGCGAAGUCCCAUUUCGGGCAAAAAGUUCAAGAGUCCCGUGUUGGGCGCCAAGAUUGAGAGUCCCACAUCGGGCGCCAAGUGUAGUACGCGGACCGUCGG